ACUAACACCAGAGGUAAUGGAUACGAUACACACACACACACACAACAACAACGCACUAACACCAGAGGUAGGGGAUACGAUACACACACACAACAACAACAACGCACUAACACCAGAGGUAGGGGAUACGAUACACACACACACACACACAACAACAACGCACUAACACCAGAGGUAGGGGAUACGAUACACACACACACAACAACAACAACGCACUAACACCAGAGGUAGGGGAUACGAUACACACACACACAACAACUCACUAACACCAGAGGUAGGGGAUACGAUACACACACACACACAACAACAACGCACUAACACCAGAGGUAGGGGAUACGAUACACACACACACAACAACGCACUAACACCAGAGGUAGGGGAUACGAUACACACACACACACACACACAACAACAACGCACUAACACCAGAGGUAGGGGAUACGAUACACACACACACACAACAACAACAACGCACUAACACCAGAGGUAGGGGAUACGAUACACACACACACAACAACAACAACGCACUAACACCAGAGGUAGGGGAUACGAUACACACACACACAACAACAACAACAACGCACUAACACCAGAGGUAGGGGAUACGAUACACAAACCCACACACACACACACACACACAACAACAACAACAACGCACUAACACCAGAGGUAGGGGAUACGAUACACACACACACACAACAACGCACUAACACCAGAGGUAGGGGAUACGAUACACACACACACAACAACAACGCACUAACACCAGAGGUAGGGGAUACGAUACACACACACAACAACAACGCACUAACACCAGAGGUAGGGGAUACGAUACACACACACAACAACAACGCACUAACACCAGAGGUAGGGGAUACGAUACACACACACACACAACAACAACAACGCACUAACACCAGAGGUAGGGGAUACGAUACACACACACACACACAACAACAACGCACUAACACCAGAGGUAGGGGAUACGAUACACACACACACACACAACAACAACGCACUAACACCAGAGGUAGGGGAUACGAUACACACACACACACAACAACGCACUAACACCAGAGGUAGGGGAUACGAUACACACACACACACACAACAACAACGCACUAACACCAGAGGUAGGGGAUACGAUACACACACACACACAACAACAACAACGCACUAACACCAGAGGUAGGGGAUACGAUACACACACAAACAACAACAACAACGCACUAACACCAGAGGUAGGGGAUACGAUACACACACACAACAACAACGCACUAACACCAGAGGUAGGGGAUACGAUACACACACACAACAACAACUCACUAACACCAGAGGUAGGGGAUACGAUACACACACACACACACAACAACAACGCACUAACACCAGAGGUAGGGGAUACGAUACACACACACACACAACAACAACAACGCACUAACACCAGAGGUAGGGGAUACGAUACACACACAAACAACAACAACAACGCACUAACACCAGAGGUAGGGGAUACGAUACACACAACAACAACAACGCACUAACACCAGAGGUAGGGGAUACGAUACACACACACAACAACAACGCACUAACACCAGAGGUAGGGGAUACGAUACACACACACAACAACAACGCACUAACACCAGAGGUAGGGGAUACGAUACACACAACAACAACAACGCACUAACACCAGAGGUAGGGGAUACGAUACACAUACACACACACACACACACAACAACGCACUAACACCAGAGGUAGGGGAUACGAUACACACACACACAACAACGCACUAACACCAGAGGUAGGGGAUACGAUACACACACACAACAACAACAACGCACUAACACCAGAGGUAGGGGAUACGAUACACACACACAACAACAACAACGCACUAACACCAGAGGUAGGGGAUACGAUACACACACACAACAACAACUCACUAACACCAGAGGUAGGGGAUACGAUACACACACACAACAACAACUCACUAACACCAGAGGUAGGGGAUACGAUACACACACACACACAACAACAACGCACUAACACCAGAGGUAGGGGAUACGAUACACACACACACAACAACAACGCACUAACACCAGAGGUAGGGGAUACGAUACACACACACACACAACAACAACGCACUAACACCAGAGGUAGGGGAUACGAUACACACACACACAACAACGCACUAACACCAGAGGUAGGGGAUACGAUACACACACACACAACAACAACAACAACGCACUAACACCAGAGGUAGGGGAUACGAUACACACACACACAACAACAACAACGCACUAACACCAGAGGUAGGGGAUACGAUACACACACACACACACAACAACAACGCACUAACACCAGAGGUAGGGGAUACGAUACACACACACAACAACAACAACGCACUAACACCAGAGGUAGGGGAUACGAUACACACACACACACACAACAACAACGCACUAACACCAGAGGUAGGGGAUACGAUACACACACACACAACAACAACAACGCACUAACACCAGAGGUAGGGGAUACGAUACACACACACACACACAACAACAACGCACUAACACCAGAGGUAGGGGAUACGAUACACACACACAACAACAACAACGCACUAACACCAGAGGUAGGGGAUACGAUACACACACACACACACAACAACAACGCACUAACACCAGAGGUAGGGGAUACGAUACACACACACACAACAACAACAACGCACUAACACCAGAGGUAGGGGAUACGAUACACACACACACAACAACUCACUAACACCAGAGGUAGGGGAUACGAUACACACACACACACAACAACAACGCACUAACACCAGAGGUAGGGGAUACGAUACACACACACACAACAACGCACUAACACCAGAGGUAGGGGAUACGAUACACACACACACACACACAACAACAACGCACUAACACCAGAGGUAGGGGAUACGAUACACACACACACACAACAACAACAACGCACUAACACCAGAGGUAGGGGAUACGAUACACACACACACAACAACAACAACGCACUAACACCAGAGGUAGGGGAUACGAUACACACACACACAACAACAACAACAACGCACUAACACCAGAGGUAGGGGAUACGAUACACAAACCCACACACACACACACACACAACAACAACAACAACGCACUAACACCAGAGGUAGGGGAUACGAUACACACACGCACAACAACAACAACGCACUAACACCAGAGGUAGGGGAUACGAUACACACACACACACACACAACAACAACGCACUAACACCAGAGGUAGGGGAUACGAUACACACACACACACACACACACACACACACACACACACACACACACACACACACACACACACACACACACACACAACAACAACGCACUAACACCAGAGGUAGGGGAUACGAUACACACACACACACAACAACAACGCACUAACACCAGAGGUAGGGGAUACGAUACACACACACACACAACAACAACGCACUAACACCAGAGGUAGGGGAUACGAUACACACACACACACAACAACAACGCACUAACACCAGAGGUAGGGGAUACGAUACACACACACACAACAACAACAACGCACUAACACCAGAGGUAGGGGAUACGAUACACACACACACACAACAACAACGCACUAACACCAGAGGUAGGGGAUACGAUACACACACACACACACAACAACAACAACGCACUAACACCAGAGGUAGGGGAUACGAUACACACACACACACACACACACACACACACACACACACACACACACACACACACACACACACACACACAACAACAACGCACUAACACCAGAGGUAGGGGAUACGAUACACACACACACACACACACACACACACACACACACAACAACAACGCACUAACACCAGAGGUAGGGGAUACGAUACACACACACACACAACAACAACGCACUAACACCAGAGGUAGGGGAUACGAUACACACACACACAACAACAACGCACUAACACCAGAGGUAGGGGAUACGAUACACACACACACAACAACAACGCACUAACACCAGAGGUAGGGGAUACGAUACACACACACAACAACAACAACGCACUAACACCAGAGGUAGGGGAUACGAUACACACACACACACAACAACGCACUAACACCAGAGGUAGGGGAUACGAUACACACACACACACACAACAACGCACUAACACCAGAGGUAGGGGAUACGAUACACACACACACACAACAACGCACUAACACCAGAGGUAGGGGAUACGAUACACACACACACACAACAACGCACUAACACCAGAGGUAGGGGAUACGAUACACACACACAACAACAACAACGCACUAACACCAGAGGUAGGGGAUACGAUACACACACACACACAACAACGCACUAACACCAGAGGUAGGGGAUACGAUACACACACACAACAACAACAACGCACUAACACCAGAGGUAGGGGAUACGAUACACACACACACAACAACGCACUAACACCAGAGGUAGGGGAUACGAUACACACACACAACAACAACUCACUAACACCAGAGGUAGGGGAUACGAUACACACACACACAACAACAACAACUCACUAACACCAGAGGUAGGGGAUACGAUACACACACACAACAACAACGCACUAACACCAGAGGUAGGGGAUACGAUACACACACACAACAACAACUCACUAACACCAGAGGUAGGGGAUACGAUACACACACACACAACAACGCACUAACACCAGAGGUAGGGGAUACGAUACACACACACACUCAACAACGCACUAACACCAGAGGUAGGGGAUACGAUACACACACACAACAACAACAACGCACUAACACCAGAGGUAGGGGAUACGAUACACACACACACAACAACAACGCACUAACACCAGAGGUAGGGGAUACGAUACACACACACAACAACAACAACGCACUAACACCAGAGGUAGGGGAUACGAUACACACACACAACAACAACAACGCACUAACACCAGAGGUAGGGGAUACGAUACACACACACAACAACAACAACUCACUAACACCAGAGGUAGGGGAUACGAUACACACACACAACAACAACAACGCACUAACACCAGAGGUAGGGGAUACGAUACACACACACACAACAACGCACUAACACCAGAGGUAGGGGAUACGAUACACAUACACACACAACAACAACAACGCACUAACACCAGAGGUAGGGGAUACACACACACAACAACAACGCACUAACACCAGAGGUAGGGGAUACGAUACACACACACACACAACAACAACAACGCACUAACACCAGAGGUAGGGGAUACGAUACACACACACACACACAACAACAACAACGCAUUAACACCAGAGGUAGGGGAUACGAUACACACACACACACAACAACGCACUAACACCAGAGGUAGGGGAUACGAUACACACACACACACAACAACAACAACGCAUUAACACCAGAGGUAGGGGAUACGAUACACACACACACACAACAACGCACUAACACCAGAGGUAGGGGAUACGAUACACACACAACAACAACAACAACGCACUAACACCAGAGGUAGGGGAUACGAUACACACACACACACAACAACGCACUAACACCAGAGGUAGGGGAUACGAUACACACACACACACACACACAACAACUCACUAACACCAGAGGUAGGGGAUACGAUACACACACACACACAACAACAACGCACUAACACCAGAGGUAGGGGAUACGAUACACACACACAACAACAACAACUCACUAACACCAGAGGUAGGGGAUACGAUACACACACACACACAACAACAACAACGCACUAACACCAGAGGUAGGGGAUACGAUACACACACACACACAACAACGCACUAACACCAGAGGUAGGGGAUACGAUACACACACACACACAACAACAACGCACUAACGCCAGAGGUAGGGGAUACGAUACACACACACACACACACACACACACACACACACACACACACAACAACAACGCACUAACACCAGAGGUAGGGGAUACGAUACACACACACACACACAACAACAACAACGCACUAACACCAGAGGUAGGGGAUACGAUACACAUACACACACACACAACAACAACGCACUAACACCAGAGGUAGGGGAUACGAUACACACACACACACAACAACAACAACGCACUAACACCAGAGGUAGGGGAUACGAUACACACACACACACAACAACAACAACGCACUAACACCAGAGGUAGGGGAUACGAUACACACACACACACAACAACAACGCACUAACACCAGAGGUAGGGGAUACGAUACACACACACACACACAACAACAACAACAACAACGCACUAACACCAGAGGUAGGGGAUACGAUACACACACACACAACAACGCACUAACACCAGAGGUAGGGGAUACGAUACACACACACACACACACAACAACUCACUAACACCAGAGGUAGGGGAUACACAUACACACACACACAACAACAACGCACUAACACCAGAGGUAGGGGAUACGAUACACACACACACACACACACACACACACACACAACAACAACUCACUAACACCAGAGGUAGGGGAUACGAUACACACACACAACAACGCACUAACACCAGAGGUAGGGGAUACGAUACACACACACACACAACAACAACGCACUAACACCAGAGGUAGGGGAUACGAUACACACACACACACAACAACGCACUAACACCAGAGGUAGGGGAUACGAUACACACACACAACAACAACAACGCACUAACACCAGAGGUAGGGGAUACGAUACACACACACAACAACAACGCACUAACACCAGAGGUAGGGGAUACGAUACACACACACAACAACAACAACAACGCACUAACACCAGAGGUAGGGGAUACGAUACACACACACAACAACAACACACUAACACCAGAGGUAGGGGAUACGAUACACACACACACACACAACAACAACGCACUAACACCAGAGGUAGGGGAUACGAUACACACACACACACACACACACACAACAACAACAACAACGCACUAACACCAGAGGUAGGGGAUACGAUACACACACACACAACAACGCACUAACACCAGAGGUAGGGGAUACGAUACACACACACACACACACAACAACUCACUAACACCAGAGGUAGGGGAUACGAUACACACACACACACAACAACAACGCACUAACACCAGAGGUAAGGGAUACGAUACACACACACACACAACAACAACAACGCACUAACACCAGAGGUAGGGGAUACGAUACACACACACAACAACAACGCACUAACACCAGAGGUAGGGGAUACGAUACACACACACAACAACAACGCACUAACACCAGAGGUAAGGGAUACGAUACACACACACACACAACAACAACAACUCACUAACACCAGAGGUAGGGGAUACGAUACACACACACACACACAACAACAACAACGCACUAACACCAGAGGUAGGGGAUACGAUACACACACACAACAACAACGCACUAACACCAGAGGUAGGGGAUACGAUACACACACACACAACAACAACGCACUAACACCAGAGGUAGGGGAUACGAUACACACACACACAACAACAACGCACUAACACCAGAGGUAGGGGAUACGAUACACACACACACACAACAACAACAACGCACUAACACCAGAGGUAGGGGAUACGAUACACACACACACACACAACAACAACAACGCACUAACACCAGAGGUAGGGGAUACGAUACACACACACACACACAACAACAACAACGCACUAACACCAGAGGUAGGGGAUACGAUACACACACACAACAACAACGCACUAACACCAGAGGUAGGGGAUACGAUACACACACACAACAACAACAACGCACUAACACCAGAGGUAGGGGAUACGAUACACACACACAACAACAACAACAACGCAUUAACACCAGAGGUAGGGGAUACGAUACACACACACAACAACAACAACGCACUAACACCAGAGGUAGGGGAUACGAUACACACACACACACACACACACACACAACAACAACAACGCACUAACACCAGAGGUAGGGGAUACGAUACAUACACACACACACACACACAACAACAACGCACUAACACCAGAGGUAGGGGAUACGAUACACACACACACACACAACAACAACGCACUAACACCAGAGGUAGGGGAUACGAUACACACACACACACAACAACAACAACGCACUAACACCAGAGGUAGGGGAUACGAUACACACACACACACACACAACAACUCACUAACACCAGAGGUAGGGGAUACGAUACACACACACACAACAACAACGCACUAACACCAGAGGUAGGGGAUACGAUACACACACACACACAACAACAACAACGCAUUAACACCAGAGGUAGGGGAUACGAUACAUACACACACACAACAACAACGCACUAACACCAGAGGUAGGGGAUACGAUACACACACACACAACAACAACGCACUAACACCAGAGGUAGGGGAUACGAUACACACACACACACACACACACACACACAACAACGCACUAACACCAGAGGUAGGGGAUACGAUACACACACACACAACAACAACGCACUAACACCAGAGGUAGGGGAUACGAUACACACACACACACAACAACGCACUAACACCAGAGGUAGGGGAUACGAUACACACACACACACAACAACGCACUGACACCAGAGGUAGGGGAUACGAUACACACACACAACAACAACAACAACAACGCACUAACACCAGAGGUAGGGGAUACGAUACACACACACACACAACAACAACAACGCACUAACACCAGAGGUAGGGGAUACAAUACACACACACACACACACACACACACACACACACACACACACACACACACAACAACAACGCACUAACACCAGAGGUAGGGGAUACGAUACACACACACAACAACAACAACGCACUAACACCAGAGGUAGGGGAUACGAUACACACACACACACACACACACACACACACACACACACACACACACACACACACAACAACAACGCACUAACACCAGAGGUAGGGGAUACUAUGCACACACACACACACACAACAACGCACUAACACCAGAGGUAGGGGAUACGAUACACACACACACACACACAACAACGCACUAACACAACAACGCACUAACACCAGAGGUAGGGGAUACGAUACACACAACAACAACAACGCACUAACACCAGAGGUAGGGGAUACGAUACACACACACACACACACACACACACACACACACACACACACAACAACAACUCACUAACACCAGAGGUAGGGGAUACGAUACACACACACAACAACGCACUAACACCAGAGGUAGGGGAUACGAUACACACACACACACAACAACAACGCACUAACACCAGAGGUAGGGGAUAUGAUACACACACACACAACAACAACUCACUAACACCAGAGGUAGGGGAUACGAUACACACACACAACAACGCACUAACACCAGAGGUAGGGGAUACGAUACACACACACACACACAACAACGCACUAACACCAGAGGUAGGGGAUACGAUACACACACACACACAACAACAACUCACUAACACCAGAGGUAGGGGAUACGAUACACACACACACACAACAACAACGCACUAACACCAGAGGUAGGGGAUACGAUACACACACACACACACAACAACGCACUAACACCAGAGGUAGGGGAUACGAUACACACACACACACACACACACACACACACACACACACACACACACACACACACACACAACAACAACGCACUAACACCAGAGGUAGGGGAUACGAUACACACACACACACACAACAACAACAACGCACUAACACCAGAGGUAGGGGAUACGAUACACAUACACACACACACAACAACAACGCACUAACACCAGAGGUAGGGGAUACGAUACACACACACACACAACAACAACAACGCACUAACACCAGAGGUAGGGGAUACGAUACACACACACACACAACAACAACAACGCACUAACACCAGAGGUAGGGGAUACGAUACACACACACACACAACAACAACGCACUAACACCAGAGGUAGGGGAUACGAUACACACACACACACACAACAACAACAACAACAACGCACUAACACCAGAGGUAGGGGAUACGAUACACACACACACAACAACGCACUAACACCAGAGGUAGGGGAUACGAUACACACACACACACACACAACAACUCACUAACACCAGAGGUAGGGGAUACACAUACACACACACACAACAACAACGCACUAACACCAGAGGUAGGGGAUACGAUACACACACACACACACACACACACACACACACACAACAACAACUCACUAACACCAGAGGUAGGGGAUACGAUACACACACACAACAACGCACUAACACCAGAGGUAGGGGAUACGAUACACACACACACACAACAACAACGCACUAACACCAGAGGUAGGGGAUACGAUACACACACACACACAACAACGCACUAACACCAGAGGUAGGGGAUACGAUACACACACACAACAACAACAACGCACUAACACCAGAGGUAGGGGAUACGAUACACACACACAACAACAACGCACUAACACCAGAGGUAGGGGAUACGAUACACACACACAACAACAACAACAACGCACUAACACCAGAGGUAGGGGAUACGAUACACACACACAACAACAACACACUAACACCAGAGGUAGGGGAUACGAUACACACACACACACACAACAACAACGCACUAACACCAGAGGUAGGGGAUACGAUACACACACACACACACACACACAACAACAACAACAACGCACUAACACCAGAGGUAGGGGAUACGAUACACACACACACAACAACGCACUAACACCAGAGGUAGGGGAUACGAUACACACACACACACACACAACAACUCACUAACACCAGAGGUAGGGGAUACGAUACACACACACACACAACAACAACGCACUAACACCAGAGGUAAGGGAUACGAUACACACACACACACAACAACAACAACGCACUAACACCAGAGGUAGGGGAUACGAUACACACACACAACAACAACGCACUAACACCAGAGGUAGGGGAUACGAUACACACACACAACAACAACGCACUAACACCAGAGGUAAGGGAUACGAUACACACACACACACAACAACAACAACUCACUAACACCAGAGGUAGGGGAUACGAUACACACACACACACAACAACAACAACGCACUAACACCAGAGGUAGGGGAUACGAUACACACACACAACAACAACGCACUAACACCAGAGGUAGGGGAUACGAUACACACACACAACAACAACGCACUAACACCAGAGGUAGGGGAUACGAUACACACACACACAACAACAACGCACUAACACCAGAGGUAGGGGAUACGAUACACACACACACACAACAACAACAACGCACUAACACCAGAGGUAGGGGAUACGAUACACACACACACACACAACAACAACAACGCACUAACACCAGAGGUAGGGGAUACGAUACACACACACACACACAACAACAACAACGCACUAACACCAGAGGUAGGGGAUACGAUACACACACACAACAACAACGCACUAACACCAGAGGUAGGGGAUACGAUACACACACACAACAACAACAACGCACUAACACCAGAGGUAGGGGAUACGAUACACACACACAACAACAACAACAACGCAUUAACACCAGAGGUAGGGGAUACGAUACACACACACAACAACAACAACGCACUAACACCAGAGGUAGGGGAUACGAUACACACACACACACACACACACACACAACAACAACAACGCACUAACACCAGAGGUAGGGGAUACGAUACAUACACACACACACACACAACAACAACAACGCACUAACACCAGAGGUAGGGGAUACGAUACACACACACACACAACAACAACGCACUAACACCAGAGGUAGGGGAUACGAUACACACACACACACAACAACAACAACGCACUAACACCAGAGGUAGGGGAUACGAUACACACACACACACACACAACAACUCACUAACACCAGAGGUAGGGGAUACGAUACACACACACACAACAACAACGCACUAACACCAGAGGUAGGGGAUACGAUACACACACACACACAACAACAACAACGCAUUAACACCAGAGGUAGGGGAUACGAUACAUACACACACACAACAACAACGCACUAACACCAGAGGUAGGGGAUACGAUACACACACACACAACAACAACGCACUAACACCAGAGGUAGGGGAUACGAUACACACACACACACACACACACACAACAACGCACUAACACCAGAGGUAGGGGAUACGAUACACACACACACAACAACAACGCACUAACACCAGAGGUAGGGGAUACGAUACACACACACACACAACAACGCACUAACACCAGAGGUAGGGGAUACGAUACACACACACACACAACAACGCACUGACACCAGAGGUAGGGGAUACGAUACACACACACAACAACAACAACAACAACGCACUAACACCAGAGGUAGGGGAUACGAUACACACACACACACAACAACAACAACAACGCACUAACACCAGAGGUAGGGGAUACAAUACACACACACACACACACACACACACACACACACACACACACACACACACACACAACAACAACGCACUAACACCAGAGGUAGGGGAUACGAUACACACACACAACAACAACAACGCACUAACACCAGAGGUAGGGGAUACGAUACACACACACACACACACACACACACACACACACACACACACACAACAACAACGCACUAACACCAGAGGUAGGGGAUACUAUGCACACACACACACACACAACAACGCACUAACACCAGAGGUAGGGGAUACGAUACACACACACACACACACAACAACGCACUAACACAACAACGCACUAACACCAGAGGUAGGGGAUACGAUACACACAACAACAACAACGCACUAACACCAGAGGUAGGGGAUACGAUACACACACACACACACACACACACACACACACACACAACAACAACUCACUAACACCAGAGGUAGGGGAUACGAUACACACACACAACAACGCACUAACACCAGAGGUAGGGGAUACGAUACACACACACAACAACGCACUAACACCAGAGGUAGGGGAUACGAUACACACACACACACACAACAACGCACUAACACCAGAGGUAGGGGAUACGAUACACACACACACACAACAACAACUCACUAACACCAGAGGUAGGGGAUACGAUACACACACACACACAACAACAACGCACUAACACCAGAGGUAGGGGAUACGAUACACACACACACACACAACAACGCACUAACACCAGAGGUAGGGGAUACGAUACACACACACACACACACACACACACACACACACACACACACACACGAACACACACACAACAACAACUCACUAACACCAGAGGUAGGGGAUACGAUACACACACACACACACACACACAACAACAACGCACUAACACCAGAGGUAGGGGAUACGAUACACACACACACACAACAACAACUCACUAACACCAGAGGUAGGGGAUACGAUACACACACACACACACACACACACACAACGCACUAACACCAGAGGUAGGGGAUUCGAUACACACACACACAACAACAACAACGCACUAACACCAGAGGUAGGGGAUACGAUACACACACACACACACACAACAACAACGCACUAACACCAGAGGUAGGGGAUACGAUACACACACACACA